UAUGUUUUGACCAUGACAGUUUACAAUCUAGUGUUACUCCAAGCAGUUUAGUCAUCUCAAUUUGCUACAUUUUUCACGUCAUUUAUUACAAGAUUUAGUUGACAUUUAAGAUUUAGUGAGCGUUUUGUUCCAAAUAUAAUGCUUUUUGUUUUAGAAAUAUUUAGGGCUAACUUAUUCUCUGCCACCCACUCUGAAACUAACUGCAGCGCUUUUAGUGUUGCAGUCAUUUCAGUCGCUGUAGUAGCUGACGUGUAUAGUGUUGAGUCAUCCGCGUACAUAGAAACUCUUUACCUUUUACUCAAAGUCAGUGGCAUGCCGUUAGUAAAGAUUGAAAAAAGCAAGGGGUCUAAACAGCUACACUGUUAUCUGUGUUAUAAUGUUUUAUCUUGAUUGUAUAUACUUUUUUGCUCCUCGUGAGGUAGAUGACCAGGUUUUUUUUCUGUUUCUGAUUCAAUGUAUCAUUAGGUUCGAUGCAGUGUGUGAUCAUCUUCGAUGUCUUCCUCAAAAUUAUGGCUGAAAAAGAAACCACAAACAGUAUUUGCCAAUAUCAUAACUGGAGCUGGACAUCUUUGGAGCUGAAGAAUGAGGACAGCUUUUAUAUGCUAACGUGUACACUCCUUAACAGUUGUACUGGAUGAAAACACAGCAAGAAAACACAUAGGCCAAUAUGUAAUAGUCAUCUAUUUUAUGAAAAUAUUGGUGAACAACAACACGUUUUACUAAUGGAAAAAAACUGCAAGAAAAGACUGACAACUUAUGAAUAUGCAUAACCGAUAAUUCAUAUUCAUGCAGUGAUUGAACAACAACUGCAUUUACACCCCCCCCCACACACCUCUAAGCAUAGUAUCAUGGCAGAUUACUGUUCAAGUCACCUGUCAAGUCAGUCGGUAAUUGCUGCAGAUGUGCUCAAUAAUGCUUUAUAAGGGCACAAGGCGAGACCCAAAUGCAGACACGGGAGCCAGAUGGUUGAGCUCCGAUAUUUAUUAUAACAAAAGGGGUAGGCAAAAGGCAGGUCGGGGAUAGGCGAGAGUUCAUAACCAGGUUAGAGUCCAAACAGUACCAGGGGAUAGGCAGGUUCGAGGUCAGGACAGGGAGAGUGGUCAGGCAGGCGGGUUCGGCAUCUGGACAGGCAAGGGUCAUAAUCAGGAGGGCUAGGAACAAGCAGAGACUGGGGAAAAUAGGAGCAAGGAAAAACACUGGUUGACUUGGAAAACAAGACGAACUGGCACAGAGAGACAGGAAACACAGGGAUAAAUACACCAGGGAUAAUAAGCGACACCUGGAGGGGUUUGGAGACAAGCACAAGGACAGGUGAAACAGAUCAGGGUGUGACAGCUUAAGCAUAUGAUACUCCCCAAAGCAUGGUGAAACACAUAGAGGUGUGUCACAAGCUCAACACAUAUACUUUGGCAACCUCCUCUGCUUCCUUCUAAUGGUGGCAGCCAGGCAGACUUUGCAGUGCCUCCGUGUGUGACUACCUUGAGCAGCAGAUUGAGGGACUUUGCAGGGAAAUACAGUGCAGUGAGGCGUAGGGGAUUGUCCGCAGCAGGGUGACCCCCAGUGGAUGGGUGCCGAGAGGUGUGGUGCUCCUCCAGCAGCUCUCUCAUGAGUUCUCGCUGUACUUGGAAGGUAACUUACUUUACCUGUGGGGGAGAGGGAGGAUGAUGAGGCAGUGGAUAGGUGGGUGAGAUAUUGACACUAUAAUUGCAAAAUGGAACUGUAUGUGAUGUGUGUGAACUGUACGUUCAUUUUUUUUUUAAAUGACCUUGUUCAGCAAUCAUCUCACCUGUUAGUUGGCGAUGAACUGUGUGGCCAUCGAGGGCAGCAGUGUCGAUCAGAUGGAAAAUUAUCUUCUUGGUAGUUUUCCGAGCGCAUUCCACAAAGCUGUUUAUCAUGUCCGUUUUAUCCACUGCCCCCAUUUUGAGGUUAUAGUCAAGCACACAGUCUGGUUUGAUGUUUCUCUCUCCCGUCAGGUGGUCCACCUUGGUUGGCCAACAUGGUUGCUGUAUGGACAGUGGAGAGGACACGUACAUCUCGUUUGUCAUGCCACUUUACUGCCAGCUGUUGACCGUUCUCCUGGAACCCCUGCCACCCCUCUGCUGCAUCCGAAUGCCGGCAUCCCCUUCCUGUUCGAACUGACUGUGCCACAGGCCCCUGUGCUGUUGGAGAGAAGAUGCUGGAAGAGUGUGAGACUGCUGUACCAACUGUCUACAUACAAAGUGUGUCCCUUGCUGAGAUGAGGAGCCAGCAUGGUCAUCACCAGGGACCCGGACACCCCAGGCCCCUCAUGUUGUUGUAUGUCAGUGGUGGACCCUGUAUAGACUAUAAUGUCCUGGACAAAUCCUGUAUUCACGUCGCACAUGACAAAGAACUUGACCCCAAACCUGUGCCUUUUGGAGGAAAUACAUGGACGGAACACCAGCCUACCCUUCCAUAACAUCAGGGACUUUUCUUAUUUUGUGUGACGGGUCAUUUAGGUUGGCAGUAGCAUUGUUGAUCGAAAUGCAGGCAUCGCAGCAGAACUAGGAAGUGGUCUUUGGAAAAGAUGGUGGCAAAGAAGGGAGUUGCAAACAGGAUCUGUGCUCCAGUAUUCUCUUAGGGAGUUCUUUACUAUUCCCAUGAGAAGGACUGUCACCAGGAAGGUAUACAUUACACUAAUUGUGGUUGUCCCAGCCACUCCUGGCUCUCUCUUCUCCUGUAUCUCCAAGGCAUAGCGAUUGGUCUCCUCUACUAUGUCUCCCACCAGCUUCUCUGUCAGAAACAGCUUGAAGCACUCUUCCUCAGAGGGAAAUGGCAAGGGGCUUUGCACUUCAGACUGGGACUCAAAGCAAACAGAAGGGCAGGGAGGGGUGAAAUUGCUUUCACUUACCAUAGACCUCCUGUACUUCAUCCACUGUCGGUCUGCCUCUAUCACCACCAGCAUCUUCAAAGGGACCUGGGACUUCGUCAGUGGACAAGGUGUCCUCAGAUUCAGGGUUCUCAAUGGCUACAAGGUUGGGGGGCAGCUCCUCACUGUCACUGUCACUGUCAGAAUCUGAUUCCUGACUUUCAGACUCACUGUCAGAAUUUAUAAAAUCUCCAUAAUUUCCCCAUUUGUGAAGGAUAUUGCUAAUACUUCAGCUUAGCCUACUAACUACAUAAACAACAACACUGAAUGGCUCAGAGUGGGAGUCAGAGGUUAUGUGAUUGACUGCCGACAUCCCUAAACAGUGUUAAAUGCUGACUGUUGCGUCAAUCGAAACUGGACGUUCUAAAUAAGCGCUCUAAUCACAGCGGUUUGAGCGUACGUUGUAGAGCGAUCACACCUGUUUGUUUCUCCGUGUGAAAAGGUUAAUACCAAAUGUUGCUUUGGUUUUGAAAUAUUUUACAGCCCGGUUUAAGGUGGUAUAUGAAUGGUAUUAACUAAGAAAAUAUGUGUUAACUGUAGAGUAAUUUUUUACAUAAAAUAAAUUGUUUAAGAAUUGCGUA